rfam:Schistosoma curassoni strain Dakar, Senegal genome assembly, scaffold: SCTD_scaffold0009524
AUCCAUCUGACGAGUUGCAAAUAGGACGAAACGUACGUUCUGGAU